rnacentral:rRNA from 1 species
GAUUAACGCUAGCGGGAUGCCUAAUACAUGCAAGUCGAACGAAGUAUUUAUACUUAGUGGCGAACGGGUGAGUAACACGUAUCCAACAUACCCAUAAGAGGGGGAUAACCAGUUGAAAAACUAGCUAAUACCCCAUAGCAUAUUUUUACAUAAGUAUUAAUAUUUAAAGUUGCGUUUGCAACACUUUUGGAUUGGGGUGCGACGUAUUAGAUAGUUGGUGAGGUAAUGGCUCACCAAGUCGAUGAUGCGUAGCUGUGCUGAGAGGCAGAACAGCCACAAUGGGACUGAGACACGGCCCAUACUUCUACGGAAGGCAGCAGUAGGGAAUUUUCCACAAUGGACGAAAGUCUGAUGGAGCAAUCCCGCGUGAAUGAUGAAGGUCCUACAAGAUUGUAAAGUUCUUUUAUUGGGGAAGAAAUGUAAGAAAAGGAAAUGUUUCUUAUUUGACGGUACCCUUUGAAUAAGUAUCGGCUAACUAUGUGCCAGCCGCCGCCGUAAAAC